CAAUAGCGUAUAUUAAAGUUGUUGCAGUUAAAAAGCUCGUAGUUGGAUUUCUGUUUUUGGGGUGCGGUCCGCCGCAAGGUGAGCACUGCAAUCCUGGGGACAUCCUCUCGAAGGCGGGUGGUGCACUUAAUUGUGUGCUGCUUGGAUUCGGGACCUUUACUUUGAAAAAAUUAGAGUGUUCAAAGCAGGCGUCGGCUUGAAUACAUUAGCAUGGAAUAAUGGAAUAGGACUUUGGUUCUAUUUUGUUGGUUUCUAGGACCGAAGUAAUGAUUAAUAGGGACAGUUGGGGGCAUUAGUAUUUAAUUGUCAGAGGUGAAAUUCUUGGAUUUAUGAAAGACUAACUACUGCGAAAGCAUUUGCCAAGGAUGUUUUCAUUA
rnacentral:rRNA from 1 species